CCUACGGGAGGCAGCAGUGGGGAAUAUUGCACAAUGGGCGCAAGCCUGAUGCAGCGACGCCGCGUGAGGGAUGACGGCCUUCGGGUUGUAAACCUCUUUCAGCAGGGACGAAGCGCAAGUGACGGUACCUGCAGAAGAAGCACCGGCCAACUACGUGCCAGCAGCCGCGGUAAUACGUAGGGUGCAAGCGUUGUCCGGAAUUACUGGGCGUAAAGAGCUCGUAGGCGGUUUGUCGCGUCGUCUGUGAAAACCAGCAGCUCAACUGUUGGCUUGCAGGCGAUACGGGCAGACUUGAGUAUUUCAGGGGAGACUGGAAUUCCUGGUGUAGCGGUGAAAUGCGCAGAUAUCAGGAGGAACACCGGUGGCGAAGGCGGGUCUCUGGGAAAUAACUGACGCUGAGGAGCGAAAGCGUGGGUAGCGAACAGGAUUAGAUACCCUGGUAGUCCACGCCGUAAACGGUGGGCGCUAGGUGUGGGUUUCCUUCCACGGGAUCCGGUGCCGUAGCUAACGCAUUAAGCGCCCUGCCUGGGGAGUACGGCCGCAAGGCUAAAACNCAAAGGAUUGACGG
rnacentral:rRNA from 1 species